rnacentral:rRNA from 1 species
CAAAACUUUCAACAACGGAUCUCUUGGUUCUGGCAUCGAUGAAGAACGCAGCGAAAUGCGAUAAGUAAUGUGAAUUGCAGAAUUCAGUGAAUCAUCGAAUCUUUGAACGCACAUUGCGCCCCCUGGUAUUCCGGGGGGCAUGCCUGUUCGAGCGUCG